rnacentral:lncRNA from 1 species
UUGCGUGUUACAUAUGAUGUAAUUGGUAUUGAUCUAAAGGUUGUCAUGAUACAUGAGAUGUACGUAUGAAGUUUAGAUCAUACCUAUGUAUGUUUAAUUAUUUAAUAUAUUAUAAAAAUUUUAUUUUUAUGUGUUGAAACAUAUGGUAUGCGUCAUCUGAAAUUCUUGUAGAAUAGUUCUAUAGACUGAAACACACAUUUCACACACUU